rnacentral:rRNA from 1 species
GACGAACGCUGGCGGCGUGCUUAACACAUGCAAGUCGAACGGAAAGGCCUGCCUUCCCUUGUGGAUUGCGGGUACUCGAGUGGCGAACGGGUGAGUAACACGUGAGUGAUCUGCCCCCAACUUGGGUAUAAGCCUGGGAAACUGGGUCUAAUUCCCGAUAGGACUGCAGGGUGGUGCCUGUGGUGGAACACGAUUUUCUAGUGGUUGGGGAUGAGCUCGCGGCCUAUCAGCUUGUUGGUGGGGUAAUGGCCUACCAAGGCGGCGACGGGUAGCCGGCCUGAGAGGGUGGACGGCCACAUUGGGACUGAGAUACGGCCCAGACUCCUACGGGAGGCAGCAGUGGGGAAUAUUGCACAAUGGGCGGAAGCCUGAUGCAGCGACGCCGCGUGGGGGAUGACGGCCUUCGGGUUGUAAACUCCUUUCGACCGCGAGGAAGCCACCUGGUUGGAAGGGUGGUGACGGUAGUGGUAGAAGAAGCACCGGCUAACUACGUG